UACGGAGGGUGCGAGCGUUGUUCGGAAUCACUGGGCGUAAAGCGCGUGUAGGCGGCCCAUUAAGUCUGAUGUGAAAGCCCGGGGCUCACCCCCGGAAGUGCAUUGGAAACUGAUGGACUCGAGUCCCGGAGAGGAGAGUGGAAUUCCUGGUGUAGCGGUGAAAUGCGUAGAUAUCAGGAGGAACACCGGUGGCGAAGGCGGUUCUCUGGGCCUUACCUGACGCUGAGGAGCGAAAGCAUGGGGAGCAAACAGG
rnacentral:rRNA from 1 species